rnacentral:tRNA from 1 species
GCCUGGCUGGUUCAGUUGGUAGAGCGUGCAACUCUUGAUCUCAGAGUCAUGAGUUCAAGCCGCAUGUUGGGCA